rnacentral:misc_RNA from 1 species
GAUGAAGAACGUAGCGAAAUGCGAUAAGUAAUGUGUAUUGCAGAAUUCAGUGAAUCAUCGAAUCUUUGAACGCACAUUGCGCCCCUUGGUAUUCCGAGGGGCAUGCCUGUUCGAGCGUCAUUAUAACCCUCAAGCUCAGCUUGGUGUUGGGGCCUGCUGCACUGGCAGCCCUUAAAAUCAGUGGCGGCGCCAUCUGGCUCUAAGCGUAGUAAUUCUUCUCGCUAUGGAGUCCUGGUGGAUGCUUGCCAUCAACCCCCAAUUUUUCUAUGGUUGACCUCGGAUCAGGUAGGGAUACCCGCUGAACUUAAGCAUAUCAAUAAGCGGAGGA